rnacentral:rRNA from 1 species
AUUGAACGCUGGCGGCAUGCCUUACACAUGCAAGUCGAACGGUAACAGGUCUUCGGAUGCUGACGAGUGGCGAACGGGUGAGUAAUGCAUCGGAACGUGCCCAGUAGUGGGGGAUAGCCCGGCGAAAGCCGGAUUAAUACCGCAUACGACCUGAGGGUGAAAGGGGGGGAUCGCAAGACCUCUCGCUAUUGGAGCGGCCGAUGUCAGAUUAGCUAGUUGGUGGGGUAAAGGCCUACCAAGGAAACGAUCUGUAGUUGGUCUGAGAGGACGACCAGCCACACGGGGACGGAGACACGGCCCAGACUCGUACGGGAGGCAGCAGUGGGGAAUUUUGGACAAUGGGCGCAAGCCGGAUCCAGCAAUGCCGCGUGCAGGAAGAAGGCCUUCGGGUUGUAAACUGCUUUUGUCAGGGAAGAAAUCUUCUGGGUUAAUACCUCGGGAGGAUGACGGUACCUGAAGAAUAAGCACCGGCUAACUACGUGCCAGCCGCCGCCGUAACAC